UGUUCAGGGUCAUACACAAUGCAAAUAUGAAGGGAUUAAUAAACACAAAUAUCCAUAUUGUCUUCCCAGGGCCUUAACUAAUGGUCUAUUCUCCAUGAAGGUUUACAGCGAGUAUCCAUUUCCAAUGACUGUUACCACUAGGUGGCACUGUCUCUCCAGUGUUGAAUUCUUCAAAUGCUUCUACCAUGGAGGCUUUUAGAUGUCUCAUUUCCAUAUCACAUGACUAGAGAAGGAAUGACAGAAAGCUGCAAUAUGCCUUUAUUUUCAUGUGACACCAUAAAGGGGUUACCCACUGGACUGAGACCCUCUUUCAGGGGAAGCUUGGAGAAAAGCCCUCCAAAAAGGUCACGUACUAUGGAUGCCAAUGAACAUCAGGAUUUUUUUCUGAAUUGCAUAUAGCUUUAAAUAUGAAGAAUAUAAUUUUAUUGGGCUAUUUCAACUGCCCAUAUAUUGAUUGGAACAACUGAACACUAGUGUGUUAUGUAAAGGAGUUUAUCAAUGAAGUAAAAAACAAUCUCAAGUUUAUCAUUACUAUUUCUUACCAUGGACUGAGCCAGUUAAAUGUUGAUACCACUAGAGGGGAUACUAUUGUAGUUCAUAUUGUUACAGAUAUUUGUUAUAAGGUUUAAAAAAGUGCACUUUUAUACUCCAUUAGGAUCUUCUGACCACUCUUCAGUGGUGUUUAGCCUUUUUAUAAUUCCUAAAAUUAGGCUCAGUAUAAAAAAAUACAAUUUUGAUUCACUGUCAGUCCCUUAUGCAAAUAGUAAAGAACACCAAUUGGUGCAACCUAAAAUAUGGGAAAGAAUCUGAAUAUGACAUUUAACAACAGACUUUCAGUAAUAGUGUUGAAGAGAUGAUUGCUUAUA